CUGAUCAGGAGAUGAGCAGCAGCUGUAACGGAGCCAAACGAAUGUUGGCCACAUCUCAUCGCUGUAGGGUAACUGAGCCAGUUCACUCAUCAGACGUUUGUAGGAAAAUCUCAUUUGAAAGUGUUGCUGGAGCUGAUCAAUCACCAGUGGGAAGAGAUCUUUGAGUUAUUUGAAAAUAAUUGUUAUGAAAUAAAACGUAAGAAAAAAUGCCGUGACUUGCUUCUGAAUUUGUUUCCCUGUACAAAUUUUUUAUGUUUUUCACUGUUUGAUCACCUAUGGCCAGAACCCUAUACCACCAUUGCACUAAAUUCAAAGUAUUCUUGUGUCCCCGUCUUGUUUCAAUGAGCACAUCUGAAGUAAUAACACUCACUAUCAUCAAUGUGGUUUGUGGUUGGUGAGAUCUUGUGCUGCUUACCUGUGGUUUUUGGAUUGUUGGAGAGCUUACUCCUCUGUGAUGUACGUGUCUGCUCCUGGUGCAUAGGCAUAAAUGAAGCGCAGGAUGUUCUGGUGGAGCUUAUCAAGUUUCUUGUCUCUCUUGUGCAAACCAUCUUCAUCUCCCAGAUCACAGGGAAACACCGCAUCAGGUGGAAUCAUGAGAGCAGAGGCCCCUGUCAGAACAUGCAACCAUCAUUUGAUAACAUUUGUUGGUCUACAGAGUCUUUAUUUAUAACUAAUAAAUAUGGCCAUGAUAAAGCUUACAAUAAAGAAUUGCCAAAGCUGUGAAUAUGUACAGUAAUUUACAGUAUCUUAAUUGACAAACAACCAUAGAAAAUGGCAUUAAAUAUGAUUUAAAUGUAUAAUAAUGGAACAUCAGAUGAUGGAAUGUGAUAUAUUAAGGAAAGUAUCGUUUGUAUUAUCAGUCAGAUGGACAUGGUGA